rnacentral:rRNA from 1 species
UACGGGGGGAGCAAGCGUUGUUCGGAUUUACUGGGCGUAAAGGGCGCGUAGGCGGCCUUCUAAGUCGGACGUGAAAUCCCUCGGCUUAACCGAGGAACUGCGUCCGAGACUGAAAGGCUUGAAUCCGGGAGAGGGAUGUGGAAUUCCUGGUGUAGCGGUGAAAUGCGCAGAUAUCAGGAAGAACACCCGUGGCGAAGGCGGCUCUCUGGGACGGUACUGACGCUGAGACGCGAAAGCGUGGGGAGCGAACAGG